rnacentral:rRNA from 1 species
GACGGAGGAUGCAAGUGUUAUCCGGAAUCACUGGGCGUAAAGCGUCUGUAGGUGGUUCAAUAAGUCAACUGUUAAAUCUUGAGGCUCAACUUUCAAAAAUCGCAGUCGAAACUAUUGGACUCGAGUAAUAGUAGGGGUAAAGGGAAUUUCCAGUGGAGCGGGUGAAAUGCGUAGAGAUUAGGAAAGAACACCAAUGGCGAAAGCACUUUACUGGGCUAUUACUGACACUGAGAGACGAAAAGCUAGGGUAGCAAAUGGG